GACGAACGCUGGCGGCGUGCUUAACACAUGCAAGUCGAACGGAAAGGCCCUGCUUUUGUGGGGUGCUCGAGUGGCGAACGGGUGAGUAACACGUGAGUAACCUGCCCUUGACUUUGGGAUAACUUCAGGAAACUGGGGCUAAUACCGGAUAGGAGCUCCUGCUGCAUGGUGGGGGUUGGAAAGUUUCGGCGGUUGGGGAUGGACUCGCGGCUUAUCAGCUUGUUGGUGGGGUAGUGGCUUACCAAGGCUUUGACGGGUAGCCGGCCUGAGAGGGUGACCGGCCACAUUGGGACUGAGAUACGGCCCAGACUCCUACGGGAGGCAGGAGUGGGGAAUAUUGCACAAUGGGCGGAAGCAUGAUGCAGCAACGCCGCGUGCGGGAGGACGGCCUUCGGGUUGUAAACAGCUUUCGCCUGUGACGAAGCGUGAGUGACGGUAAUGGGUAAAGAAGCACCGGCUAACUACGU
rnacentral:rRNA from 1 species